CCUACGGGUGGCAGCAGUGAGGAAUAUUGGUCAAUGGACGAGAGUCUGAACCAGCCAAGUAGCGUGAAGGAUGACUGCCCUAUGGGUUGUAAACUUCUUUUAUAUGGGAAUAAAACGUUCCACGUGUGGGAUUUUGUAUGUACCAUAUGAAUAAGGAUCGGCUAACUCCGUGCCAGCAGCCGCUGUAAUACGGAGGAUCCGAGCGUUAUCCGGAUUUAUUGGGUUUAAAGGGAGCGUAGGUGGAUUGUUAAGUCAGUUGUGAAAGUUUGCGGCUCAACCGUAAAAUUGCAGUUGAAACUGGCAGUCUUGAGUACAGUAGAGGUGGGCGGAAUUCGUGGUGUAGCGGUGAAAUGCUUAGAUAUCACGAAGAACUCCGAUUGCGAAGGCAGUUCACUGGACUGCAACUGACACUGAGGCUCGAAAGUGUGGGUAUCAAACAGGAUUAGAUACCCUAGUAGUC
rnacentral:rRNA from 1 species